CCUAAUUGACAUAUGAUUUUAUAUAUAUAUAUAUAUACCUUUUACAAACGUAUGAAUAAGUGAACUUGACAGGCAUUAGUAACAUUUCUAUGAGCGGGGCAGCUGUCCUGUUCUCAGGUCGCCUGCUGUGACCUUUCACAACACAAUAGAUCUGUUUCUGUCUCCACGCGAUGCGCGCAACCGCCGCGCCGACGAGGAGCGAGGAGGACCGGUAAGGACCGAGGAAGACCGAAGAAGAGCGAGGAGCGAGAAGCAGCGGCCGUUGAGGAUCCCUGCCGUACUGAGGAGGUCGUUAGUCGGCUGGUUCUGCGCGAAGAGAUGUUUUAUUAAAUAAUAUUUGAUGCCACUCUGGAUUAUUUCCGCGGAAUGAAUCAGGACAGAGAAGCACGUUGAAAGAGUUAAUUGACCUGUUAAUUUUGCAUAUUAGUUCUCAUGAGUUGUUUUUCCAAAUAUGGUCAUAAAACAGUUGACCUCGAGCACAUCUACUCUCGGGCUAUUAUUGGACAUGCAGCACGUGACUGGGACCGCGCGUCUCACACCUAACUGGGCUCUUUGUGGCCGCACGUGUGGCAAUAAAUGCAGAUGCGCGUCGUGCGUCAGUGGGAAAUGCUCCAAUCACCCCGAACCAGCCCGAGGGCAUCACACGCGAGGCUUUCUGCAGAUUCAUCACCCGCUGACGUCCACUUGAUAACCGGCUGAUGUCCACUCGGUGACCCGCUGGUCUCAGCCGGCUCUUUCAGUGGGAGGUUAUUUGGUGAUGUCACGUGUCCCGCAGCAGUAGCCGGGUUCCAACACUUGUGUGUGGUAUCGGUCCCGGGUGUGAAGGGGAGUCUCUGGCGGCCAGACAGGGUACGAUCAGCAUCGAACAACCAUUACAGCAACCGAAGAAGAGCCGCAGAAUAGCAACGGGAUCGUUUUCCAAUCCAAUGUGACCAAACACAAAGUCUUAACUGUAUUGGUGUCUUGUUCUGUUUUUACUCCAGAGAUAGUUAGGCUCUGCAUCCGAUAAAGAAAAUAAAACAUUCUGGUUCUGAGCUCUUGUAUUUCUGAAUCCAGUUGAGGUCAUUUCUCAGCUCCUCUGUUAAAAAUUUGAUCGUCCAUUAAUGGCUCUUGAAGGUCAGGCUUUGAGCUGUUGCACCUCUCGUGUGACUCAUUUUUUAUCUUAACAGCAACCAGAAUGAUGACGUUAGCCGAAAGAGAGUUUGCCUCGGAGUAAUUAUUGCACGGAAUACAACUGUAAGUACGGUUAGUUACAAUAUGUGGCUAUCAGUAGUGCUUACAUUUAGGUUGUUUACUUGAGGCAAAUGAAAAGGAAUAUUGUAUUGUGCUAUGUUAACACUAAGCUAGCUCGCUAUUUUGUUAAAAACGGUCUCCAGUGAGCAAGAGUGUGAACGAGCCAAUUGGAAAUACAAGAAAUAAUAAUUAUUGACAUCUCUCUCUAAGUUAGUGAAAACGAAAUGUAAUAGUGUCCAUCAUAACGCCAUUGUACCGAUGAAUCAUUGAAUUCAUUGACGAGAUAUAAGACGAUCCGUUGGGAGAGAUGGCAGCCGCGCCCGUCACAUGAAAGAGAAGCAGGACACGGACACGGCUGAUGGAGGUUUGUGGUCUACAGGUGUACAAGGAAACACGUUUUUAAUUUCUUCUACUGUGGUAGAAAUGUACAGGCAUUUGUUGUGAAGCCUAGGCUACUCCAAGCCAUAGCCGCCCUAAACUAUAUUAUUUCAUGAUAUUUCCAUAUCAAGUCAAAUUUCACCAUAACCUUGAAAUUAUGCCUCUUGUGUUAUCAUUUAACAAGCCAAACAACAGAGCAACAAUCUAUGAACUGUCUGGAAUCAUGGAUAUCCGUGGCCCCAAACAGGCCCCCGGCCAGAAAAUCCCAAUGGGGCCCUUUCUUUGAAUCCUACAAAUGCCACUGGUUGUACCAGGAACCUCAGAUAUGAUGUAAAUAUAAACGUUCUCAGUUGUUUAUUUUGAACAUGAGCAGAAGGUAUGUGCAAGGUGGGAAGGGAUAGACGUUCAUCCAUUACAGGCUUCACUGCUGUCAGUAGUUUCGCUCUGCCAAGGUACAAUCUUAAAAGCACUUCAUACUGUACGAGAUUGAAAUGAUUCAUACUUAGCCUUUAAUCAAGGGGCUUGAAAAUGUGUUUCAAGUUCAGCAUUCGCGUUAUGUUUCAUUUUUUGCAAAACGGAAGGGUCCUUGUCUCAUCAUCGUUUCACUUUGACGUCGAACCUGUCAAGUUUUUCGGCUGGAAAAUGAGGAAAUGUGGCGCAAUGAUUCCGAAUCAGACUGCUAACCUGGAGUUUGCCCAAAAGUUAACCUAAGGCAAGUUAUAUUUGCUGGUAAGACUCUAAAGGUCGUGCGAAUGUGUCUGAAUAAUAAGAUUCCUUUGUUAUUCCAAGCUGUGUGGGCAGAGUCGAGUUAGGAUGGUACAAAUAGAUGGUUGUUGCAUAACAGGGCCACUGUACCUGAGGUUGUGUAGACGUUUUUACGAAACAACGGUUUGACGAAUACGUUAUGGCCGAGAUCACGGAGAGCAUUUAUAUGUGCUUUACUUAGUAGUUGGUGAAAAUGUCUUCUAUGAAGUAAAGUCGGUUCAUAUUUAACGUGAGUCCCCAUAUAAAUAAAUUUAAAGGUGAAAGAUGAAAUGUGCUUUUGUAUGUGCCAUUGAAAUAUUUAGGAAAAUUCAUUGUUUCAGAAAAAAUUGAUUUUGUAGCCUGAAAAUAUUUCCAGAAUCUCAUCCAGUGGGGUCCGGUCCCGUUUUCCCCGUUGGUCAGAGUUGCUGUCUUUGAGCUGAUUCCUCAGCAUGUCGAUAGAAGAUGUACGGAUCACCCCGUUCCAAUUUGCUUCAACUAUUUAUUCCUUUUUGAACGUAGUCUCUUUUCUUCAGUAAGAACUAGUGGAUUUUCCAGCGACACAGUGAAGUUAACAGUAUUGACAUCAAAACGUAUUGUUGGUUUUUGUACUUUUCAUGAGAUUUAUUUGAAAAUGAAAAUAAAAAUAAAGUCAGCUUUAACCAUC
ensembl:lncRNA